CUGAUCAAGAACAUUAAUUCCUGCUACAACAAACGACACUCCCAAAGAAACCUUCUGAAUCGUUGUCAUUACGCGAACCCAUUGCAAAAGAUCUUUAAAACAUGAUAAAGUCUCAGUCUUCAAAGGUGUCUUCUUCUUUUUCGGCUUUCUCCGCCAUGAUGACUCCACCACCGGUUCUAGACUUGCUUUGCUUCCAUAACACGGUUCUUUUCUAGAAUCAUCAUUUGUUUGAACAGAGAAACCAGCAGCUUCGCAGAACGAUGUGCCGUUAGACUCCCAGCUUGAGGUUUUAACGCAGAUGAUGUCGUUUACUCCACAUGGACCAAUCAUCUAAUCACAUACAAAACCAAUAAGAUCCCACAAUACCAUUUUGAUCACUUUCCUUGGGAUUAUCUUACCUGUGUAAGUGCAUUGCUGGCGAAGUAUGCGUCUUUGCAAGCUGCAAAGACUUUGUUACAGAACGAAGCGCAGAUGCGAGGAGGACCUGGUUGAACUCCAAUGUUCGGGUUACAGAUUGAACACUCCAACAGCUCGAACAGAUGCUGGCACUCUUGACUAGCUUCUCCAAAAGUAGCCAGGUUUCUGACAGCUACAAAAGCUGGGUUUGUCUGAGCAGGAGAGCAACAGGUUCUUUUGCGAAACACCUGGCACAGAGUUAGGUCCUUUGAUCCUUUACCAACAGGUUUAGGAGGCUUUCCUUCAGAUUCAUAGGGGGGAAACCUCCCUCCUUUAGAAACGCAUACCCCUUUCGCAUCCUGUUUCAUUGCACCUGAAAAAACAGAGCGUUACACUAAAAAAAUUGAACAACUUUAAUAAGUUUUAUUUAUUGCAAAGGAGUUUAAUUUCUUUUCAUGAAUAGAAGAAACUCAAAAUGAAGCUAGCAAAACACUGAACCCACAUGACAAAACACAGAACUCGGUUCCUAAUCAGUUUGGUUUGCGUCAAACGAGUCAAGACGAUCCAAACGACAAAAACGAAAAAGGUUGAGACUUUGGGUGACAGAAUCUGAAAUCUACGAUACCCAUUUUCUGAAAUCUAACAAACAGAUCAAAUGGGAAUGUGAAGAAGAAGAAGAACCCUAAGCUUCUGGUACUAACCUGAUGAGAAGGAGAUCAAUAGAUGAAGAAACAGGAUCGGGUUCCGAAUCAGAAACACCUUCUUCGUUAAACAUCUUCCCAUCUUUCUCAAUUGAUCUAAAAGCUCGUAGGAAAUGGUAAAACACGACCGAAGACAAGAGUUACUCGUGACUAAAGUUCAACAAGUGAUGACAAUUACGGGUGGACCCGAAUACCCGAUUGUAAAGACACCGUCUAAUUUGGUUUUAGAAUAAAAGAAUUUUCAACUUUAUUGAUUCAGCCUCUCUGUGACAAUAUAUGUCAAAAUUUUCAGAAAUGAAAUUGAUAUAUAGUCCUAUUAUUUCAAUAGUCAAAGCUUAUAACAUUCAUUCUCUUUAGAACAAGUUUCUUCAUAGCCCUGAAGCUGAAGAACAAACAUGAACAUAAGCACAAAACCACCAAUCUGAUCUCAAUCUGACUGAUAAGCUACAAAAAAAAACAACAAUGUUCGAAACGAAUAACAUGAGAUUGAUUUUGGUUUCAUGGAUUGUUUGUUGAAAUAAUCCUUCAAAGGUGUCUUCUUCUUUUUCGGCUUUCUCCGCCAUGAUGACUCCACCACCGGUUCUAGACUUGCUUUGCUUCCAUAACACGGUUCUUUUCUAGAAUCAUCAUUUGUUUGAACAGAGAAACCAGCAGCUUCGCAGAACGAUGUGCCGUUAG
rnacentral:lncRNA from 1 species